rnacentral:rRNA from 1 species
CCUACGGGUGGCAGCAGUGGGGAAUAUUGCACAAUGGGGGAAAGCCUGAUGCAGCGACGCCGCGUGAGUGAAGAAGUACCUCGGUAUGUAAAGCUCUAUUAGCAGGGAAGAAAAUGACGGCACCUGACUACGUAGCGCCGGCCAAAUACGUGCCAGCAGCCGCGGUAAUACGUCGGGGGCAAGCGUUAUCCGGAUUUACUGGGUGUAAAGGGGGCGUAGGCGGGGCUGCAAGUUCGGUGUGAAAGAUGAUGGGCUAACCAUGGUAGUGCGCUGGAAACUGAGGAGCUUGAGUGCGGGAGGGGCAGGCGGAAUGCGUGGUGUAGCGGUGAAAUGCGUAGAUAUUAGGAGGAACACCGACGGCGAAGGCGGCCUGCUGGACCGUAACUGACGCUGAGGCACGAAAGCGUGGGGAGCGAACAGGAUUAGAUACCCCUGUAGUC